rnacentral:rRNA from 1 species
AUUGAACGCUGGCGGCAGGCCUAACACAUGCAAGUCGAGCGGAUGAAGGGAGCUUGCUCCUGGAUUCAGCGGCGGACGGGUGAGUAAUGCCUAGGAAUCUGCCUGGUAGUGGGGGAUAACGUCCGGAAACGGGCGCUAAUACCGCAUACGCCCUGAGGGAGAAAGUGGGGGAUCUUCGGACCUCACGCUAUCAGAUGAGCCUAGGUCGGAUUAGCUAGUUGGUGGGGUAAAGGCCUACCAAGGCGACGAUCCGUAACUGGUCUGAGAGGAUGAUCAGUCACACUGGAACUGAGACACGGUCCAGACUCCUACGGGAGGCAGCAGUGGGAAUAUUGGACAAUGGGCGAAAGCCUGAUCCAGCCAUGCCGCGUGUGUGAAGAAGGUCUUCGGAUUGUAAAGCACUUUAAGUUGGGAGGAAGGGCAGUAAGUUAAUACCUUGCUGUUUUGACGUUACCAACAGAAUAAGCACCGGCUAACUUCGUG